AUACUUACCUGUGUAGGAGACACCAUGAUUCUGUAGAUGGUUUUCCCAGGGUGAGGCUUGUCCAUUGCAUUCUGGUUGUGCAGACCCCUGCAAUUUCCCCAUAUGUGGGAAACUUGACUGUAAAAUUUGUAGUGGGGGACUGCAUUAGUGCUCUCCCCUG